ensembl:lncRNA
CCCGUGUAGUAAAAGUCCCAGAAUUACGUUUAACAAGCAAUUGUACUUAAUACUUAUCCAGGCUUUUCACCUCUUUUGAUUUCUUUUUUUUUUUUUUUUUUAUGUGGGAUAUGGGCGCGGGGGGGUUCUGUCGCGCGCGGCACUCCCCGCAGUGGAAGGCGCGAGGCUGAUAGUCGGACGUCGCGCGCAACGCGUCUCCGCAUCCCGGGCAGCGCGGGCGCGCAGGACAUCUCUCUCUCUCUCUCUCUCUCUCUCUCUCUCUCUCUCUCUCUCUCUCUCUCCGAAAAACACACACACCACAUUACAGAAACGCGCACCGCACAGACGUUGUUGUACAAAAAAGACACAUGACGCAUGAUACCGUGCUGAAAAACAAACGCUGAGGCUGUACACACAACCAGUCCAAAAAAAAAAAAAAAAACCCAGUACACGCAGAGACUGUUAGUGAAAAAAAAGAGACGUUACACACAUUUUUUUUUUUUUUUUCACCUCAGGAGACUCCUUCUCUUCGUGUUCCCGGAGCUCACAGUCUUUCUCAGAUAAAAGAACAGAGUUUGCACAGGAAGUGUUGUGCUCUCUGGUGAUUGGAUGGGAAGAAGAAAAUCUUUGACCUUGGAAACUGAAGAUGCUGUUGCCAUGGGAACUGUUAAUCCUCCUGUCACUCAAGGGCUGCCUUGCAGAUUUUGCCACUGGGGUCAGAAAUGACUGCGAGUUUGAAUCCCAAACACACACGUUGACUGAAACCACUUGUCCUAAGCGAGGUCAAAGUGAACCAGAGCCCAACCUGGCAACACAGGGUGCAAGGCUGGAGGGGGACACACCCAGAACGGGAUGCCAGUCCGCUGCAAGGCACCUCAAGCAGGACUCGAACCCCAGACCCACCAAAGCACGGGAGUCGGCCAAACCCGCUGUGCCACCACACCCCCCGAAUCCUGCACAUAUUGUCCUUUUUAUUAUUAUCGCUGACUUACUUUCCAUACUGCUCCUAAGCUACAUCAUGAGUGAGGGGUUGAGUCCUGCUCAGGGUGGACAGAGUUUGCAUGUUUCUUCACAUGUUUGCACCCCCUUCCCCCAACAUGCACACAAUAUCACAAUAUUCCUCCUGCCAUGAAAACCAUGUUAGUGAGCAUCAUGAGUCAGCAUUGACUCACUACCACAUGCAACAUCAUUGUACUGUACAGGUGUGAGAUGGCAAUACUGUAAUUGUUCCUGUGAAGUGUUACUGCUCUUUAAGUCAUAAGUGAAGAUGAAUCAAUAACUUGCAAGCAGACGAAGACGAACAGGAAUCAGCUGCAAGUAUUAUUUCCAUCCUACUUUUGAGGUUCUGGAGCUUCUUGCAUUCCUGCCAAUGCAGUGAUGUUUGACUUGUAUAUUUCCAGAGUACAUCAUGGGUGAAGCUGCGUGAUGACAUUGUUCGAAGGAGCUACAAACAUUGCAGGGUGGAUGUGUACUUUCCUUUCCAUGCUAGACAAUCACAGUGAAGUUUGGUGGAGUUCGGUAAACCAGGUUGUCAAUUUUUGGUUCAUCUUAUAUUCACAUCCCCUUUCAUCCCCCCCAAAAAAAAAAAAAAAAAAAAAAGCAGGAAACUGUAAUAUAUACAUG